rnacentral:rRNA from 1 species
ACGGGUGAGUAACACGUGGGCAACCUGCCCUUGAGACUGGGAUAACUUCGGGAAACCGGAGCUAAUACCGGAUAAUAUAAGGAACCUCCUGGUUCCUUGUUGAAAGAUGGUUUCGGCUAUCACUUAAGGAUGGGCCCGCGGCGCAUUAGCUAGUUGGUGAGGUAACGGCUCACCAAGGCGACGAUGCGUAGCCGACCUGAGAGGGUGAUCGGCCACACUGGGACUGAGACACGGCCCAGACUCCUACGGGAGGCAGCAGUAGGGAAUCUUCCACAAUGGACGAAAGUCUGAUGGAGCAACGCCGCGUGAGUGAUGAAGGCCUUCGGGUCGUAAAGCUCUGUUGUUAGGGAAGAACAAGUGCGAGAGUAACUGCUCGCACCUUGACGGUACCUAACCAGAAAGCCACGGCUAACUACGUGCCAGCAGCCGCGGUAAUACGUAGGUGGCAAGCGUUAUCCGGAAUUAUUGGGCGUAAAGCGCGCGCAGGUGGUUUCUUAAGUCUGAUGUGAAAGCCCACGGCUCAACCGUGGAGGGUCAUUGGAAACUGGGGAACUUGAGUGCAGAAGAGGAAAGUGGGAUUCCAA